CUCUACAGCCGUGCCACCCUGAACAAGCCCAAUCCCGUCUGACCUCGGAAGCGAAGCAGAGUUGGGCCUGGUGAGUACCUGGAUGGCAGACCACCUAGGAAGACCAGGUGCUGUAGGCG
rnacentral:rRNA from 1 species